rnacentral:rRNA from 1 species
GACGAACGCUGGCGGCGUGCUUAACACAUGCAAGUCGAACGUGAUUUUUGUGGAAAUUCUUUCGGGAAUGGAAAUGAAAUGAAAGUGGCGAACGGGUGAGUAACACGUGAGCAACCUACCUUACACAGGGGGAUAGCCGUUGGAAACGACGAUUAAUACCGCAUGAGACCACAGAAUCGCAUGAUAUAGGGGUCAAAGAUUUAUCGGUGUAAGAAGGGCUCGCGUCUGAUUAGCUAGUUGGAAGGGUAAAGGCCUACCAAGGCGACGAUCAGUAGCCGGUCUGAGAGGAUGAACGGCCACAUUGGAACUGAGACACGGUCCAAACUCCUACGGGAGGCAGCAGUGGGGAAUAUUGCACAAUGGGGGGAACCCUGAUGCAGCGACGCCGCGUGAGCGAAGAAGGUUUUCGAAUCGUAAAGCUCUGUCCUAUGAGAAGAUAAUGACGGUAUCAUAGGAGGAAGCCCCGGCUAAAUACGUGCCAGCAGCCGCGGUAAUACGUAUGGGGCGAGCGUUGUCCGGAAUUAUUGGGCGUAAAGGGUACGUAGGCGGUUUUUUAAGUCAGGUGUGAAAGCGUGAGGCUUAACCUCAUUAAGCACUUGAAACUGGAAGACUUGAGUGAAGGAGAGGAAAGUGGAAUUCCUAGUGUAGCGGUGAAAUGCGUAGAUAUUAGGAGGAAUACCGGUGGCGAAAGCGACUUUCUGGACUUUUACUGACGCUCAGGUACGAAAGCGUGGGGAGCAAACAGGAUUAGAUACCCUUGUAGUCCAAGGGCGAAUUCCACAGUGGAUAUCAAGCUUAUCGAUACCGUCGACCUCGAGGGGGGGCCCGGUACCCAGCUUUUGUUCCUUUGUAUGGGGUUAA